rnacentral:tRNA from 1 species
GGGCCCGUGGUCUAGUGGUUAUGACGUCGCCUUGACAUGGCGAAGUUCGAGGGUUCGACUCCCUCCGGGCCCACCA